rnacentral:rRNA from 1 species
AGUGAACGCUGGCGGUAGGCCUAACACAUGCAAGUCGAACGGCAGCACAGUAAGAGCUUGCUCUUACGGGUGGCGAGUGGCGGACGGGUGAGGAAUACAUCGGAAUCUACUUUUUCGUGGGGGAUAACGUAGGGAAACUUACGCUAAUACCGCAUACGACCUACGGGUGAAAGCAGGGGAUCUUCGGACCUUGCGCGAUUGAAUGAGCCGAUGUCGGAUUAGCUAGUUGGCGGGGUAAAGGCCCACCAAGGCGACGAUCCGUAGCUGGUCUGAGAGGAUGAUGAGCCACAGUGGAACUGAGAGACGGUCCAGACCCCUACGGGAGGCAGCAGUGGGGAAUAUUGGACAAUGGGCGCAAGCCUGAACCAGCCAUACGGCGUGGGUGAAGAAGGCCUUCGGGUUGUAAAGCCGUUUUGUUGGGAAAGAAAAGCAGCAGGUUAAUACCCCGCUGUUCUGACGGGACCCAAAGAAUAAGCACCGGCUAACUUCGU